UCUCCGUAGGUGAACCUGCGGAGGGAUCAUUACAGAGUUCUCGCCCUCGCGGGUAGAUCUCCCACCCACUGUUAUCGUUACUGUGUUGCUUUGGCGGGCCGCCGGGCCCCGCUCGGCCGCCGGCUCCGGCUGGCGCGCGCCCGCCAGAGGCCCAGCAAACUCCGAAUGUUAGUGUCGUCUGAGUACUAUAUAAUAGUUAAAACUUUCAACAACGGAUCACUUGGUUCUG
rnacentral:misc_RNA from 1 species